GACAAGACUCGACGAGACGAUUCCGCGCGGAUGUGAACACGUGGUGGCGCGAGACACGACGCCGUCGGCGACGCGGUGCUCGGAGACGCGGCGACGCGACACGAAGACUUCAGAGCUCAUCGUGCUUCGGCCCACUGAACUCGUCGUGGGAGAUGAAGCCGUUCUUGUCCUUGUCCUCGUGCUGAAAGAUCUCCUCGACCAGCUUGUCGUGGUCAACCAGCAUCUUCUUCAUCUCCUCGUUGUCGCCGGCUCCGCCCUGCUCCGCCUCGAUCAUUUGUUUCCUCAGAUACUCGCUCACCUGAAACUCGCACACGUGCUUCGUACAGACUUGACGUACGUGUUCCACGUGACUAUGCCGUUGUUCGCGGAUCUGCGAUUCGUA
rnacentral:misc_RNA from 1 species